UCAUGAAAUUAUUGAUAAAAAUAUGCAAUUUUACCAUGAAAUAACUCCUAGUUGUAAUGCGGAGGCUUUGCUUUCAAAUAUUCCAUUCUUUCGACUCCAUACCUGGAAGUCGGCUUUUACUAUUUAGCCAGAGUUUUCUUUCAGGUGUGAACUCGUCAGUGGUCGCCGCCCCCAAAGACGGGCGUCUCAAACAUCUCGAAGCGGUACAAGGUGACGUCAGGGCGUGACGCGCGCUGCUUGAACCAGUUGUAGACGGCCAUCACUGGGAUGGCGAUGACGGGCAGCACGCACAGAAAGACGAUGAAGACGAACACGGCGUCUGGAUAGGACUUCACCUCCGCAGGGUUCCAGGUGUCGUAUUUGGGCCUCUCCGUGGCCUGCAGCGCCACGUACGCCAACAACACCACCAGGAGCAUCAAGGGACUGAUGAACCUCCAACAGAUCUGCCAGUACAGACCACCGACCUUGCCCAUGGACUUGAUGCCCUUGAAGAAGCAGAGAUAGAUGAUGAACCAGGUGCAGGCCAGGCAGAGCACCAACCACCACUGCAGAGACCCGCUGGUCUCGAUGUUGGGCGUGAUGUUGAGCGUCCGACGGUACCAGAAGUAAUUGACCGGCGUGCUCUUCACACAUUCCGCAUCCAAGCCUGCGUGGCAGGUAUGACGGGAGUUACUUGGCACACUUUUCAAUUUCAAUUCAUCUCAUUUGCUCAUCAGUUCAUGUAAACCAGGGGUGCCCAUUACGUCGAUCGCGAGCUACCAGUCGACCGCGGGGGGUGUGUCAGUCGAUCUCCAGCCAGGCUUUUAAAAAAAAUAAGACCUAAAAAUGAGUGAUCAUCAAUCUUCACCAAGACGUCACUUAAAUGACAUUCACGGUACCGGAGGGUCUUGUGAGAUGACGCUG